CUUUAAAGCAAUGUGUCCAUGAACAGCUUGACAAUGUGUCAAAACACAACACAAUUUAUUUGUUUACAUCUUGAUAAGAUAACAACAAAUGUUCCCCAAAAUUAGCGGAAUGUUCUAUUGGUUUAUUAUAAAACCUUUGGAAUGUGGUUUCACUGGACCAUCCAGCUGCUUUCAUAAUAAUAUCAAUUGGCAGUUUUGUAGAGGAUGCUGCAGAUGUGGAUGCAGAACGAGUGCUGUGUGCACCAUAACAACUUGUAUCAAUACCAGCUUUCCCCAUUAUAGUUUUGAUCCACCUUGCAAUAGUAUCUUUGCUUACUGGCUUAUGUGGUUUGUUAAAACUAAGCCAUAACUCAUUAUUUCCAUCUCUCACCACACUUGUUUUAAGCAAAUAUUGCUUGAGGCAUGUCACCACACACAGAAGCUUGUCAGCUGGGUAUGCUUUAAAUACUAGUGGUUUAAGAUGCUUUCCAGGCUUGGAAGUCUUUAGCAGAGUAUUAAUUUCAAAUGUAAUUUGGUUAUCCAAUUGUUUCAUACCACUCAAUGUGAAUGCAUGUACUGUUUGACACCGCUGACCAGAUAACAAAACU